GAGAUAAAUCCUAUACCAGGACAACCUUAUACCAGUUUGAUAUAAAUUUUUAAUCAUUCUAAUUUCAGAUCUAAACAUAAAAUAAGAUAUAUCACAUAUACUAAUUUUUAGAUCUAAAAAAUUAAUAUAAUUAUUUUAAAAAUAAUUUUUUAAAAUCGAUCAAUUUUAUGCUAGGACAAUCUUUACAAUAUAGAAGAUAAAUCCUACAUCAAGAUAACCUUAUAACAGCACA
rnacentral:lncRNA from 1 species